rnacentral:rRNA from 1 species
CCCUUAGAUGUUCUGGGCUGCACGCGCGCUACACUGAUGCGCUCAACGAGUUUACGACCUUGCCCGGAAGGGUUGGGUAAUCUUUUUAAAACGCAUCGUGAUGGGGAUAGAUUAUUGCAAUUAUUAAUCUUUAACGAGGAAUUCCUAGUAAGCGCGAGUCAUCAGCUUGCGUCGAUUACGUCCCUGCCCUUUGUACACACCGCCCGUCGCUCCUACCGAUUGGGUGUGCUGGUGAAAUGUUCGGAUCGGCCGUUUGUCGCGGUUUCCGCGGCUCGUGGCUGAGAAGUUCAUUAAACCCUCCCACCUAGAGGAAGGAGAAGUCGUAACA